rnacentral:rRNA from 1 species
UACGGAGGGGGCUAGCGUUGUUCGGAAUCACUGGGCGUAAAGCGCGCGUAGGCGGACCUGCAAGUCGGGGGUGAAAGCCCGAGGCUUAACCUCGGAACUGCCUUCGAUACUGCGGGUCUCGAGUCCGGGAGAGGUGAGUGGAAUUCCUAGUGUAGAGGUGAAAUUCGUAGAUAUUAGGAAGAACACCAGUGGCGAAGGCGGCUCACUGGCCCGGUACUGACGCUGAGGCGCGAAAGCGUGGGCAGCAAACAGG